GCCUGCCCACUGAUUGUAAUUGAAGGGCCGCGGUAUUCUGACCGUGCGAAGGUAGCAUAAUCAUUAGUCUUUUAAUUGAGGGCUUGUAUGAAUGGUUGGACAAAAAAUAAGCUGUCUCAAUUGUAAAAGUUGAAUUUAACUUUUAAGUGAAAAGGCUUAAAUAAUUUAGGGGGACGAUAAGACCCUAUAAAGCUUUACAAUUAUUUGGUUAAAUUAUGAAUUGUUAGUAUAAAUUUAAUUUAAUUGAUGUUUGUUUCGUUGGGGCGACGGGAAUAUAAUUUUGUAACUGUUCUUUUAUAAUUUGUUACAAUAAUUUUUGGUAAAAGAUUGAUCCUUUAUUAAAGAUUAAAAGAUUAAGUUACUUUAGGGAUAACAGCGUAAUCUUCCUUGAAAGUCCAUAUCGACAGGAAGGGUUGCGACCUCGAUGUUGAAUUAAGAUUUCCUUAUGGCGCAGCAGUUAUA
rnacentral:rRNA from 1 species